rnacentral:rRNA from 1 species
GAUGAACGCUGGCGGCGUACUUAACACAUGCAAGUCGUACGGUAAGGCCCUUUCGGGGGUACACGAGUGGCGAACGGGUGAGUAACACGUGAGUAACCUGCCCACAACUUUGGGAUAACGCUAGGAAACUGGUGCUAAUACUGGAUAUGUGCUCCUGCUGCAUGGUGGGGGUUGGAAAGCUCCGGCGGUUGUGGAUGGACUCGCGGCCUAUCAGCUUGUUGGUGGGGUAGUGGCCUACCAAGGCGGCGACGGGUAGCCGGCCUGAGAGGGUGACCGGCCACAUUGGGACUGAGAUACGGCCCAGACUCCUACGGGAGGCAGCAGUGGGGAAUAUUGCACAAUGGGCGCAAGCCUGAUGCAGCAACGCCGCGUGCGGGAUGACGGCCUUCGGGUUGUAAACCGCUUUCAGCAGGGACGAAGCUUUUUGUGACGGUACCUGCAGAAGAAGCACCGGCUAACUACGUG